rnacentral:lncRNA from 1 species
AUGAUCGUCCUCGCCCUCAGCAGAUGAUCGUCCUCUCGCUCAGCUGAUGAUCGUCGUCUACCUCAGCUGAUAAGCUCGUCCUGAGCUGAUGAUCGUCCUCCCCCUCAGCAGAUGAUCGUCCUCUCCCUCAGCUGAUGAUCGUCGUCUACCUCAGCUGAUAAGCUUCGUCCUGAGCUGAUGAUCGUCCUCGCCCUCAGCAGAUGAUCGUCCUCUCGCUCAGCUGAUGAUCGUCGUCUACCUCAGCUGAUAAGCUCGUCCUGAGCUGAUGAUCGUCCUCGCCCUCAGUAGAUGAUCGUCCUCUCCCUCAGCUGAUGAUCGUCGUCUACCUCAGCUGAUAAGUUUCGUCCUGAGCUGAUGAUCGUCCUCGCCCUCAGCAGAUGAUCGUCCUCUCCCUUAGCUGAUAAGCUUCGUCUACCUCAGCUGAUGAUCGUCCUCGCCCUCAGCAGAUGAUCGUCCUCUCACUCAGCUGAUGAGCUUCGUCUACCUCGGCUGAUGAUCAUCCUCGCCCUCAGCAGAUGAUCGUCCUCUCCCUCAGCCGAUGAGCUUCGUCUACCUCAGCUGAUGAUCGUCCUCGCCCUCAGCAGAUGAUCAUCCUCUCACUCAGCUGAUGAGCUUCGUCUACCUCGGCUGAUGAUCAUCCUCGCCCUCAGCAGAUGAUCGUCCUCUCCCUCAGCCGAUGAGCUUCGUCUACCUCAGCUGAUGAUCGUCCUCUCACUCAGCUAUCGAUCGUCCUCUCACUCAGCUGUUGACCAUCUUUUCACUCAACUGAUCGUCUCGCUCAGCUAAGCCUCACCUUCAGCUCGACCCCUUAACGGAGUCCUCGCUUGAGGGGCGUCCUCGCCCGUUGCUGAUUCUAGCAAUUAUCUAACCGGAGUGGAAGACUUAUGCCAUCCUCGCCUUCAAUGAGUCCUCUCCUGAAGUCAUGUCCGGAAUGUGAUACUUGAU